rnacentral:lncRNA from 1 species
UCAUGUGGAGAGAGCAAGGAACUCAGCAAUCGAGGCUGCUCUGACUGAUGCCGUGGCACAAGGCAUGGCAGCAAAAGAGGCAGCUAAGCUAGCUCAGAAAGAAGGAGCAAAAGCUGCAAAACUGGCCGUGCGACAAACCAAGCGCAUUGUUGGUCCGAUUAUUUCUGGGGGAUGGGACUUUUUUGAAGCACUUUAUCUUGG